AUUCCCGAAUUUAGGAGAGCUAAUUAUAAAAAUAUUUUAAUGUUGAAAAAUUACUUAUAAUUUAUAAUUAGGGGCUAUAUGUUAGUCAAUCUUUAAUAUAUCUGGUUUUCUAAGAAAUUAAUUUAAUUAAUUUUAUUAAAUAAAUAAUUCUAUUCAUGGAUUUGUUUUUUGAUAAAUUAAGUUUUAAGGGGAUAAGCUUUUGAAAUUAUUUUUAUAAAUAUAAAAUGAACAUUAAUUAAGUAGGAUUAGUAGUUUCCAUUUUUAAUAGAGUUUAAUAACCAAUUUUUUUAAUAGUUUAAUUUUUUUUAUUUUAGAUUUUUUAUUAGAAUAAUUUAUUUAAUUAAAUAUUAUAUUUAAUAAUGAUAGAAUUAGUAAAUUUAUUGUAUAAGUAAUUUAUUUAUUAAAUAUUUUAUUAAGGAAUUCGGCAAAUAAAUUUUCCGCCUGUUUAAUAAAAACAUGUCUUUUUGUAUAAUAUAUUAAGUCUGGCCUGCCCAAUGAUUUUAUUCAAUGGCCGCGGUAUUUUGACCGUGCAAAGGUAGCAUAAUCAUUAGUUUUUUAAUUGAAAGCUGGAAUGAAUGGUUUGACGAGAAAAUUACUGUCUCUUUAAGAUAAUUUGAAUUUUAUUUUUUAGUUAAAAAGCUUAAAUAUUUAUAAGGGACGAGAAGACCCUAUAGAAUUUUAUAAUUUAAAUUUUAAUUUUUUAUAGUUUAAGUUGAUUAUUAUAGUUUAAAUUAUUUUGUUGGGGCGACAGGAAAAUUUAUUUAACUUUUUUUUUUUAUUUACAUUAAUUAGUGAAUUUUUGAUCCAAUUUUAUUGAUUAUAAGAGGAAAUUACCUUAGGGAUAACAGCGUUAUUAAUUUGGAGAGUUCAUAUCGAUAAAUUAGUUUGCGACCUCGAUGUUGGAUUAAAAUUAUGUUUAGGUGGAGAUG
rnacentral:rRNA from 1 species